UACGGAGGAUCCGAGCGUUAUCCGGAUUUAUUGGGUUUAAAGGGUGCGCAGGCGGGAGAUUAAGUCGGCGGUGAAAUUUUGCAGAUCAACUGUAAAAGUGCCUUCGAUACUGGCUUCCUUGAGUGUGGAUGAAGUAGGCGGAAUUUGUGGUGUAGCGGUGAAAUGCUUAGAUAUCACGAGGAACUCCGAUUGCGCAGGCAGCUUACUAAACUACUACUGACGCUCAGGCACGAAGGCGUGGGGAUCAAACAGGAUUAGAUACCCCCGUA
rnacentral:rRNA from 1 species